UCCCUGGUGGUCCAGUGGCUAAGACUCUGUGCUCCCAAUGCAGGGGGCCUGAGUUCAACCCCUGGUCAGGGAA
rfam:Haemonchus contortus, ISE/inbred ISE, WGS project CAVP01000000 data, contig: Hcontortus_contig_pathogens_Hcontortus_scaffold_22792